UACGGGGGGAGCAAACGUUGUUCGGAAUCACUGGGCGUAAAGGGCGCGUAGGCGGUCACCGCAAGUCGACUGUGAAAUCUCCGGGCUUAACCCGGAAAGGUCAGCCGAUACUGCGGGGCUAGAGUGCAGAAGGGGCAACUGGAAUUCUCGGUGUAGCGGUGAAAUGCGUAGAUAUCGAGAGGAACACCUGCGGCGAAGGCGGGUUGCUGGGCUGACACUGACGCUGAGGCGCGAAAGCUAGGGGGAGCGAACGGG
rnacentral:rRNA from 1 species